UGCACCUGAUUGUGGGCUCUCUUCUCUCCUCUCCACCCUGCGACCACAACUUUGUCUGCUUCCUGUUUUUAAUAAAUAUCUAUUUUUGUACUAUUUUUAAACAUGUGUGGACUCCAUCUUGUCUGAAGCCGGAGCCAGUUCGUGACACAUGGGGACUUGCCCAAGAUCAAAACCCACAUUUUUGCUGAAGCUAAAGUUUUGUUUUGGCAAAUGGGUGCUCGUGGUUGAUCUUUGUCUGUAUUCUUUGUCUGGUAGGUGAUAAGGAUCAUCAGUUUAGCAUACUUUGGUUAGUUUUCAGAUUGUUGGUCAGUCCCGUCAGAGUGGACUGAAGAUCCAGAACGGUUUGAGACAAACGCUGAACCUCAUCCUCCAAAUGACGAACCUUAUCUGGACCACCAUGUCUCGUCUCCUGCUGGCCUGUUUCCCUGCGCUCUGUCCCUGCAAUAACACAAGAGAUUUUACGAAGACUGGUUUCUACACGUAUAUACACAGCUGCAGUCUUGACCUGUGAAACCAGGGCAACAUCUCCACUCCAGAUCAGUCACUCUCUUGAAGGCAAUCUUCAAGAAAAACUUCACAUCUUUCAGACCAAGGCACUCAGCUCCCACAGAAACAAUAGAUGACCUCACUUCCCUGUAGACCGCUGAUGUCAAGAAAAACAUCUGGAACCUGGAGGAAUGAAACUACGCACAUCUCAGUCUGAUAGCACACAGCAAUGGCUCAACAAUCACAAAAAACGUCAAGCAGAACUGUGGGGAAUUAAUCAACAACUCGGAUGUUCUAUACACUAUCACCAGCAAUUUUCUGUAGAGUGUGACAAAAAUGACGUGAACUUGUUAAAUUUUCUUUGUAAUGAAAAUCAGAGAAAACGCCAGGGGAAAAUCCGAACUAAACUUUGAUAUAUUUGACACACCCAUAAGAUGAGUUAUGAAAAAUAAAAUAAUAAUGAACCCGAACUAAAAAGACUGAGCACUAAGUAAGAAUCAAAGAGUAGAGAUGUGGGUCUGCCACCUGCUUUUCUCCAUAUAUAUAUCAUUAUAUUGCUAUGAGAGGAAUGUUCCACAGUAUGGCAUUUUAAACAAGUAAUGCCACCAGCCAAGGUUAGCAGUCAGAUCUGUGGAGAGGAGAGCCGGCUCGCAGAAAGAAUGCAUGUUUUAACAAUAAAGACACCUAUGAUUAAUGGCAUGCUGUGGGACAUUCUAGAAAAGAGCAGGUGAUGGACCCUCCAUUAGAAUUGUUUAUAGUCAGAACUGUUGCAAAAAGAGCUGAUUAAAAAAAACAAAUCAGCAACAACAAAUCAGCUGACUAAUGUAACAAAAACAAAAUACUUGGGCCAUAUUAUUAGAAAUGACUCCUGUGAUGAUGAUGAUGUCAUCCAGGGUCAGUGUUGCUAACUGUAUUCACAGGUGAAUAUGCUGGAACGCAAAUUCCACAUGUGUACAACUGACAUCAAAACUACUCUUUUUAGAUCAUACUGUACCCCACUGUAUACAGCUCACCUAUGAUGUAAUUACAUCAAAGCAAAAUAUAAAUACGAUUAAGGUGGCAUAUAAUGAUGCUGCUAAAGACUCCAAGGUGGGAAAGUGCUAGUGCUUUGUUUGUGACUGUAAAUAUUCCCACGUUCGAGCUUCUAAUGAGAAACCUCUUGUAUAAAUUUAUGUGUAGGUUAACUGAAUCAAGAAAUGGAAUUAUAACGUGCUUGACUGAUAUUAAGGAAUGUGACACCCAAUAUUAUUCUGUCAUCUGGAUACGUCGGAAGAGCCAGCUAUAUGUAUUUUAAGUCUAUCGGACCUUACAUCAUUAGGUGUAUGUGUGUGUGUGCUGCUGGGU